rnacentral:lncRNA from 1 species
CUAAUAUGUUUAUUACUGGUGAAAAAUAAUUGAAUUCUGGAUGCUUUAUUAAGCUAGAGCUUUUAUAUUUUUGUGCUAAGGGAAAAAUGCAGGAAAGGAAACCUGCCGAUACUUCCAAGGUUUUUCUUUUAAUUAAGAAGAAAAAAAAGGUUGCUAUUUGCUGACACUAGAAAGGUUAGAAAGAAUGAAGUUUGACCGUGGGGACAUCAGAAGCUUUGAUCGGACACAUGAAAUGCUGUGUGAGAUACCGUUUGGACAUGCAAAUGUGGAUAAAACACUUAAAUGAAAUGUACUUCCAGAAAACUAUUGCGUAUGCUUAAGAAGUUCAGAGUAUCUCCUGCAACUAACGCUCAGAUACUGCUGAUUGUCUCCGCCCCUCACGUAAUGUCUUAGGCAGCUGUCUGGUGCUGGUUAUACCUGAGAACAGAGUUGUGUGUCUCUUCUCUCUGCCCUUUCUAUAUCUGAACUUGAUGUUUUAGGAGUUUUCACAGCCCUUCCUCAUGUCUACUGCUUUGAGAUUCUAUAUCUCACACGCUGCUGAACAAGUAACUGUG